rnacentral:rRNA from 1 species
AACGAACGCUGGCGGCAGGCCUAAAACAUGCAAGUCGAACGGACGUAGCAAUACGUUAGUGGCGCACGGGAGAGUAACGCGUGGGAAACUAACUGUUGGUUCGGGAUAACAUCGGGAAACUGGUGCUAAUACAGGAUAAGCCCUUCGGGGGAAAGAUUUAUUGCCGAAAGAUGGGCCCGCGUUGGCUUCGAUACUUGGUGCGGUAAGGGCUCCCCAAGGCAACGGUCCAGAGCUGGUCUGAGAGGAUGACCAGCACCACUGGGACUGAGACACGGCCAAGACUCCUACUGGAGGCAGGAUUGGAGAAUAUAGGACAAUGGGGGAACCCCUGGUACAGCCAUGCCGGGCGAAUGAUGAAGGCCUUCGGGUUGUAAAGUUCUUUUGGUGGGGACGAUGAUUACGGUACCCACAGAAUAAGCGCCGGCUAACUUCGUGCCAGCCGCCGCCGUAA